rnacentral:misc_RNA from 1 species
GAUGAAGAACGUAGCGAAUCGCGAUAUGUAGUGUGAUCUGCCUCUAGUGAAUCAUCAAAUCUUUGAACGCAUCUUGCACCCUUUGGUAUUCCAAAGGGUACGCCUGUUUCAGUAUCAUUAUAACCUUUCUCCCCAAGGCUUUUUGGCCAAGGAGGGAAAGAGCAUAACCGGUGGCCCAGCGGUCUCCCUUCAGGGGGAUUGUCUCGGCUGGAAUGACUGUUGCAAUGGUGGGCCAAAUGGUCUUCCGCACUUGAUAAAUGUACUUUUAUAAAGAGCGGGACCGGUCUGCCGAACGUUGUAACUAAACCCUUUACCUUUGAUCUGAAAUCAGGCGGGAUUGCCCGCUGAACUUAAGCAUAUCAAUAAGCGGAGGA